UCAGAGGUAAAACGUGUAGAUCUCUCAGUUUGCCUGCCUUGUAAGCCUCCUACAUUGUUUUUCUGCGAGGUUAAUUAUAUUAUAAAGACCUCAUUGCACUUGGCUACCUGUUAGUAAAUGGGUUGUGUGGCUAGUACGUCUGCAAGCGACGAAACAAGGCAGGAAAAGACACUGUCGCUGUCCGCCAUUCAAUGUCCAAAGCAGACGGGAGGACAACAUGCCACCACUGACGACCGGAUUGAGCAGGAGCUGACGUGUGAGUCUAUAGAAUCAGAAGAGUUCUACGACGAAGAGUCCAGCAACCACAGAUACAGAAGAUAGAACAUGCCGCAUUCGGACAUUUCUUCGCUCUGUAUCUCUAACCGUGCCUGGGGCAAAUCUACGUUCUUGGAUAGGCGGAGACUAUCCAGAGAUGUGCCCGAUCUUACGAACCCAUCCAGGCAUAUUUAUAACUAGAGAAAACAAACUGCAGUUGCCAUGGCAGAGGCUGGAACACCCACUGUGACGUCAAGCGCCGAUCAUAUACUAGUAACUCUGUCAGAUUACGACAUUAAACAAGUCAUUGCCACAGGCAGUUUCGCGACGGUGCAAUAAUUUUAAUGAAGACCCUCUGUUAAGUACCCAACUUUCCUAUCCAGCAUCCAUUAUUUUGCAGUCCCCAGAUUGCAUGCAUACCCCACUCAACCAAAAAAUCCUGGGCAUUAAGGUGUAUAUUUUGCAGACGAGUUGAAUAAAAUAUACUAUUUUC